AUGAAGAACGUAGCGAAAUGCGAUACUUGGUGUGAAUUGCARAAUCCCGUGAACCAUCGAGUCUUUGAACGCAAGUUGCGCCUGAAGCCAUUAGGCYAAAGGCACGUCUGCCUGGGCGUCACGC
rnacentral:rRNA from 1 species